AUUCUACUGUCUCAUCUGCUUUGGCAUCAGCGCUGAAUAGAUUUAAGACAUCUGCGCAUGUGUCUUCAGGUGCUGAAGAAAAACACCCUUCUCUGUACAUUGCCUAUUGGGCUGACACUUAAACAUUGCUCUGGGAUGUUGCAAACAGACCAAGCUAGAAAGGUACAAAAUGACUUUAUGUGCCUUAGUUGGAAUGUUGAUCUUAUUCUCUUAGACAAUCAACUUGUCUCUCUCUGCAUCCUAUUACACGCUGAGGACAGAAUAUUUGGAGGAUGUUGUACCUGCCCCCGAAACACUGCAACUCACUGAGUUGGAAAAUUGAGAAACUAUAAAGAAGAGAUUCUACCCUGCACUGUGGAUUCCCAGUGUUUUAUUUUGGAUGCCUUAUUCACCCAAGAGCAACAAGUUACGAAGGCAUCGAGAAAGCAUGGACAACAGCUGAGUCUUAUCACUGUGUGGCAGGGAUGGAUUUCUGGAAGACAUGCAAGAAGAGGCUACUGAUGAGAGUGCACCCCAGUUGCAACAAGUGGCUGCAUUUCUAAGGAAAAGUGACCCUUGCUCAUCCAGCAGUCAUCAGUACUAAUGGAACCCAGGAUUAUUUCCAAGAAGUGCAAAUAUGGGGAUGAAAUUUUUCAAAGAAGAAAAAGUAGAUGAAAGUUACCAUGUUGUGACCUGUAAUUUCACAUAGGGAGAGAUGAACAUGGAGUACUUGUCUGAGGACACUUUGGAUUACACUAAUUAGAAGGAACCCUAGGCUGCAGUUUGUGAGUAUGUAUCAAAAAGUCACCAAAAGAAGUGAGUUUAAAUGAUGAUAUAAAUGGACAAAUAACUAAUUUAUCUGAGAUGUAAGUAGAGUAAAAUAUUUUGCAGUAACUAAAUAUAACAUGUUUGAACAAAAGGACAAUACAAAUCAAAUCAAUCAAAUGACGUUUAUGCUUUUCAAACCGUUGACAGAUAGGGAUGUUGCUCAAAAUAGGAUGUAUGCCCAGUGUGUUACAGUUCCUGAGUUGAAAUCCCAUGGUUUCAGUAAAAAAAUAAUUUGACUCAUCAGUGAGUUAGCAGGUUAUAUAAAAUGAACUCUAGUAAAAACAGAGUUCCAUCCUGGAGAGCAUCAGAGCAGUAGUAGAGGAUUGACUUGCACAAUUUUGCUCUGACCAAUAGAAAUGUAUCCUCUGAAGACUAGCUUAAUUAAAUGUUAGUACCUAAAGAUGAAUGAAUAUGGAAUCUAUAUUAGUUUUUGAAUUACUAAUUUUUGAAAUUUUUUUUCAUUCAAUAUAUUCUAAUCCUUCCUUACUUUGUCCUCCCAUAUCCUUUCUACCUCCACAAUGAUCUAAUUCCUCAUGUUCUCAUCCUACCCCUUAGAAAACAUGAAAAGGAUUAAUGAAAUAUGAGGAAAAAACACAAGAAGCACAUAGACACACAUUUAUUCAUGCUCACAGAGAAAAGCCCAGCAAAGUAUUAAAUUGGGGGGCAUAAUAUGUCAGAAAAUACCAGUAUGGUUAAAAUAUAGUAUACUAUGAAUCAAAAAAUUCAAAAUUACCAUUGAUUUAUAUAAGUAAGAAUGAAGCCCCUGUUUGAGUGUGGAUUCUAUUCUUAUGAAACCAUACUGGAAACAGUAGUUUUUUAUAUUGGAAAAUGUGUUAAAUGGAUAGAGCUCCUUAGUGAGGUAGAUCAUAUACAUAUCCAGCUAUUAGUGGCUGGAACCCAAAUAAUUUUGACCUGCAAAACCUGUGUAGAACCUGCACAUGGUUUCCUGAUUUAUAUGAGUCCAUAUGUAUAUCAGUCCUGCUAUAUCUGGACAUCAUUGCUGACUUGCUUUCAUUCCUCCCAGCACCACAGUGCCUUAUAAUAUUUCUACUAUGUCUUCUACAAAUCUUUCCUGAGCCAUGAAGGAAGAGAUAGGACAGCAGUGUCUCACUUAUGAGAGUGUGAUCCAAAGUCUUUCACUCUGUAUAUUGUGCAGACAUGGUUCUCUUUACUUAGCCCAAUCUAUUGUAUAUGCUAGCUUUUGUGAUGACAGUAGAGCAAUAUACUGAUCUAUGGGUAUAACAGAAUGUUAUUAGGAGUCAUUUUGUAGCUACAUUUCUAUAGCAGACAAUGAUACCUGCUUUAAGCCUUAAACUCCAGUAUUUAGUCAUGAGAACAAUGGUAGAAAUGUGUUCUGUCUCACUGUGUAUGUCUCAAAUCCAGUCAGAUAGUGGUUGCUUACUCCCUUGAAAGCACCACUAUUGCAGCAGCUUAUCAAAUAGGCAGCUGACUGCGGUAGAUCAAAUAGUAUAGAGGUGGGUGGGCAUUUAAGUUUCUGCUCAGUAACCAUGCAGAAUUCAUUUCAGUAUGAGCAACACAAUUCAAAAGGUAAAGCUUUCAGUUAGGCACCUGCUUGUCUUCUCUACGUUCAAAAGAAAUCAAAUUGUUGUCUUCAACAAUAGACCCAUCAUCAGUUGUAUGUAUCAAUCAAUAGUUUAAGCAGUAGUUUGAGAUGAUUGGAAUAUUACAAUGAGGUCACAUUGGCCAAAAAAUAUAGUAGAUAUACACAAUAUGUGAGUUGGAGAUUUCAUUUGGUGGGAAGAGAUGUCUAGUUUGGUUAUUCUCUCCCAUUAUUUUUUUCACAUCCUUUAUUUCUUAUUUAUGUUAUAUAUUAAGAACUUAUCUGACUCCUACUUAUAGCUGUCCUCCCUAGUAUUCCACUCUAUCAUCUUCAUUCAACUAUGUCCAUUUAAUUGCUGCAUUACAAUGUCAUCACCAAAUAUCCCCCAUAAUUGUUUAUAUUAUGUAUCUAUCCUCAUAAACCCCUUCCCUCUAUCCUAAUUCUUCUAUUCCAUCGACAAGGCUUAAAAUAUCAAAAUAUAAACUGAUACAUACUGCAUUUGUCUUUGAGAUUCUGGAUAACUCAC
rnacentral:sRNA from 1 species